CAGCACCUGUAGUCUGAUGACAAUUUUAUUUUGUGUUUUUGGCACUGCUCCUCUUCUCAUGUGAUAUACGGAGUGGAGAAAAGACCUCUAAUGCACAGAAAGCAGUUCACUUGAUACUAGAGAAGGAGGCAGGGAGCCAGUUUCUGCAGCUCUCCCCACAUCAAACCUGGCUGGCUACAGGUGGUGGGGAUGGACUGAUCUGUGAGAUCUCAGCAAUGGACAGGUAUGUACAGCUGCAGAGCCACUCAUGUUGGCAGGGUGGAGUCGGAUCUGUUUGUUUCACACCAGACAGUCAGACCCUCAUCACCACGGGCCUGAGCAGGCGCAGGUUUAGUCAUUCUGGGGCUGGAAAAGCAAGUGAAGCUGCCCAGUAUGCUCAGUCAAUUGCUGAUUCUUUUGAGUCAGUUGUAUACUCAGAAAACACUGUCCCCUCCAGAAUGACUGACUGGGAUCCACAUGCAAUCUGUGACCAGAUGUUCCUCAUUUCAUACAGGAGAAGGAAAGAUGAGUCAUGAAGCUGAACAAGAGGAAAAGUAUUUUGUGUCUCCAACCAGUUCUACAUGGCUUGAUGGAAAAUAAGACGUGGUUUUCCAAGAGGAGACCCAGCAGUAUGAAGAGACAAAGAGGAACCUAAGAAAAAACAUCAAAGUUCAUCGUGACACAAUCAAAGCAAUGAUGGAGGAGAAUAAGAGUCUGCCAGACAUGGAAAACCUUGAGCACCAGGAAUUUAACCUGGAUGUGGAAGAACAACAGAGGCUGCGGCUCAAGGGAAAACAGGAAGUAACCAGGGCCUUUCAUGCUGAAAAUAAGGUGGAGAACUACCCCCAUGAAGGUACGCACUUCAAAAGAACGUGAAGAGCUUCAGAGGGUUGAGACCAUGAGGCAGAUGAACAGUGAGUGUACAGUGUUCCUCAAACAAUAAUGAGUCAGCUGUUGGAAUGGAUUCCUCCAUAGCGACCAAAGCCUCACAUGUUACUGUUUCUGUUAUUUCACAAAAUUUGACAAAUAAUAUAAAUAUUCUUCAUAGCUUCUUCAUAGAAGGAUCAUGUGACACCAAAGACUGAAGUAAUGGCUGCUGAAAUUUAGCUUUCCUAUUAUUUUCCCUGUUAUUAAAAUAAAAAAAAAUAUUUUAAAUUGUAAUGUCUUACCAACCCUACCAAUCUAACUAACCCCAAACAUUUGAACAGCAAUGUAGUAUAAUACAAUGAACUGGAAUAUGAAAACUGUCUUAUAUUGGCAAAAACUGUAAUGUGGAUAGUUCAGUUUGUCUCAUGCUGUAGUGUAGAUGCACAAAUUUUCAUUGCAGUGUGACAACAUGAGAGAUCAAGCACUCAGUGUUAUGAUGGGUGGAGUACUUGAACUUAAAAAAGAGGACGUGCUGAAGAUGGUGAGGUGGCUGAAUGAUUCUUACUGGAAUGCAAACACUUAUUUACCACAUAAAAAGAUAAAGGUUAAAAAAUAAAAGUAACAUUUAAGUUAUGAUUAACCUACAGGAAGUACUGUACCUCAGCCUGAGUACAUGUCUAAACCUGAAGUAUAAUGGACAGAAGAAGAGAGGAAGGUCUUCAAAGAGUUGAAAAAAAAAGCAAAGGAGCUCAGUGAGUAGAAAGAGAAAUACAGAAAGCUAUGACUUUGAUCACAACUAACAGGGAUAGUACACUCACAAUUAUGUAGUUUUUCACUGUCGUGCUUACAAAAUGCACAUGUAGCACAUUCACUAUAUUACUAUAACUAUACAGUACAUAUGCUAUAAAUCACCUGAAACCAUCCAUUAACUUAUUUUUUGCAGUCAGGUAUAUUCAAAGUUGCCAUCUCAAAGUCUGUCACAGUAAAUGUGAAAACCGAUGGUUGCUUGGCAUCAGUGAUGUCAAAUCUGCCUUUUUGGGUGAACUAAUCUUAUUAGCAAUAACUCCCUUCCAUAUCAAAUAACUGUA